GAUGAACGCUGGCGGCGUGCCUAAUACAUGCAAGUCGAGCGAACGGACGAGAAUCUUGCUUCUCUGAUGUUAGCGGCGGACGGGUGAGUAACACGUGGAUAACCUACCUAUAAGACUGGGAUAACUUCGGGAAACCGGAUCUAAUACCGGAUAAUCUUUUGAACCGCAUGGUUCAAAAGUAAAAGACGGUCUUGCUGUCACUUAUAGAUGGAUCCGCGCUGCAUUAGCUAGUUGGUAAGGUAACGGCUUACCAAGGCAACGAUGCAUAACCGACGUGAGAGGGUGAUCGCCCACACGGGAGCGGAGACGCCGUCCAGACGCCUACGGGAGGCAGCAGUAGGGAACCGUACGCAGUGGGCGAAAGCCUGACGGAGCAACGCCGCGUGAGUGAUGGAGGUCUUCGGAUCGUAAAACUCUGUUAUUAGGGAAGAACAUAUGUGUAAGUAACUGUGCACAGCUUGACGGUACCUAAUCAGAAAGCCCCGGCUAACUACGUG
rnacentral:rRNA from 1 species